GACGAACGCUGGCGGCGUGCUUAACACAUGCAAGUGGAGCGACGAAGCGGACUUCGGUCCGUGGCAGAGCCGCGAACGGGUGAGUAACACGUGGGUAACCCACCCCGAUGACCGGGACAACCCGAGGAAACUCGAGCUAAUACCGGAUGUGCUCCAGACUCAUAAGGGACUGGAACAAAGAUAGCUUCGGCCUUCGCAUCGGGACGGGCCCGCGGCCCAUUAGCUUGUUGGUGAGGUAACGGCUCACCAAGGCGACGAUGGGUAGCUGGUCUGAGAGGACGAUCAGCCACACUGGGACUGAGACACGGCCCAGACUCCUACGGGAGGCAGCAGUGGGGAAUCUUGCGCAAUGCGCGAAAGCGUGACGCAGCAACGCCGCGUGGGGGAAGAAGGCCUUCGGGUUGUAAACCCCUUUCAGUUGGGACGAAGCUUCGAGGGUUAAUAGCCUUCUGGAGUGACGGUACCUUCACAAGAAGCCCCGGCUAACUACGUGCCAGCCGCCGCCGUAAUAC
rnacentral:rRNA from 1 species